CACUCUUGAGCUUCUUCAAUUCUGGGCACUUGGUAACCCUUAUUGAUACAGACUUGUUUCAUCUGUCUUCUAUGGAUUUCCCAGGGACAGCAAUGAACAAGAAAACCACUGCGGGGUGCUGCGGCGCAGUCAGCCAAGCCACCUGCCUGCAACCCUGCCCCUGCAAGGCUGUCCUCAGGCUCUUCCAGACUUCCUCAAUUGGAUCCACACAGCAGUUCUGUGGUAUGGUGGUGCACGCCUGUAUCCGAGAUUGUCCUGAGCUGCACUACGAGUUCAAGUCCCAGACAAGACUACUUGAAGCCUGCCUCAAAGAAAAGCAAAAAGGAAGAAAGACGACCAAGUGCCUGAGGCCUUUGACUCACAGAGUCUUGUGUGGAGCCAUGAAACCUCACGCUGACAGUCGGCCUGCCUCCUUCCCUCCAUUCCCAAGUAACUGCUGACCUGCUUCCUGUCCCUAGUUUGCAUUUUCUGGAGUUCCCUGUGGACAAACUUACACAGAUGUCUGGAGCAUCCCUGGACGUGGUGACACACACCUGUAAUCCCGGCAUGUAGGAAGCAAGGCAGAAGAUCACCAGCCUGUUCUACACAGAAAGUUAAGACCAGGAAGGACUGCUUAGUGAGUCCCCUGUCUCAAAGGAUCCAAUACAAAUGGACAAUAAAA